AAUCAACGCAGGCGGCGUGCCUCAGACAUGCAAGUCGAACGAUUAAAGCUCUCUUCGGAGAGUGCAUAGAGUGGCGCACGGGUGAGUAACACGUAAGUAAUCUGCCCUCGAGUGGGGAAUAACGUCCGGAAACGGGCGCUAAUACCGCAUAAUGCAGCGGCAUCAUAAGAUGACAGUUGUUAAAGAUUUAUCGCUUGAGGAGGAGCUUGCGGCAGAUUAGCUAGUUGGUAAGGUAACGGCUUACCAAGGCUACGAUCUGUAACCGGUCUUAGAGGACGGUCGGUCACACUGACACUGAAUAACGGGUCAGACUCCUACGGGAGGCAGCAGUCGGGAAUUUUGGGCAAUGGGCGAAAGCUUGACCCAGCAACGCCGCGUGAAGGAUGAAGUAUUUCGGUAUGUAAACUUCGAAAGAAUAGGAAGAAUUAAUGACGGUACUAUUUAUAAGGUCCGGCUAACUACGUGCCAGCCGCCGCAGUAAAAC
rnacentral:rRNA from 1 species